GUCCCUUUUCCAGUCAUACAAUUUCGCAAAGAUGACAACUUUCAGGAUGAAUUUUGCACCCUGAUAUAAUAUGAAAAUAGUUGGUAAAACUUACAAGUACUGUUUCAAUAGCGAAAAAGGUGUUGCAUACUUCAUCAAGUAUGUCGUAGAAAUUACAGCACCCUGCCAUAUAAGUUUAAAAAAUCCAAACAAGAAUAGAAUUGGAAAAAAGUAAGCACCCAAAUCAUGAAAAU
rnacentral:lncRNA from 1 species